AUUGAACGCUGGCGGCAUGCCUUACACAUGCAAGUCGAACGGUAACGGGCCUUCGGGUGCCGACGAGUGGCGAACGGGUGAGUAAUACAUCGGAACGUGCCCGAUCGUGGGGGAUAACGAGGCGAAAGCUUUGCUAAUACCGCAUACGAUCUACGGAUGAAAGCAGGGGACCGCAAGGCCUUGCGCGGACGGAGCGGCCGAUGGCAGAUUAGGUAGUUGGUGGGAUAAAAGCUUACCAAGCCGACGAUCUGUAGCUGGUCUGGGAGGAUGAUCAGCCACACUGGGACUGAGACACGGCCCAGACUCCUACGGGAGGCAGCAGUGGGGAAUUUUGGACAAUGGGCGCAAGCCUGAUCCAGCCAUGCCGCGUGCAGGAUGAAGGCCUUCGGGUUGUAAACUGCUUUUGUACGGAACGAAAAGCCUUCUUUUAAUACAGGAGGGUCAUGACGGUACCGUAAGAAUAAGCACCGGCUAACUACGUG
rnacentral:rRNA from 1 species